rnacentral:rRNA from 1 species
CCUACGGGAGGCAGCAGUGGGGAAUUUUGGACAAUGGGGGCAACCCUGAUCCAGCCAUGCCGCGUGUCUGAAGAAGGCCUUCGGGUUGUAAAGGACUUUUGUUAGGGAAGAAAAGGAAAGUGUUAAUACCACUUUUUGCUGACGGUACCUAAAGAAUAAGCACCGGCUAACUACGUGCCAGCAGCCGCGGUAAUACGUAGGGUGCGAGCGUUAAUCGGAAUUACUGGGCGUAAAGCGGGCGCAGACGGUUACUUAAGCAGGAUGUGAAAUCCCUGGGCUUAACCUGGGAACUGCGUUCUGAACUGGGUAGCUAGAGUAUGUCAGAGGGGGGUAGAAUUCCACGUGUAGCAGUGAAAUGCGUAGAGAUGUGGAGGAAUACCGAUGGCGAAGGCAGCCCCCUGGGAUAAUACUGACGUUCAUGCCCGAAAGCGUGGGUAGCAAACAGGAUUAGAUACCCUGGUAGUC